UGAGAGACCCAUUUUGCUGAAUCCCCAAGGGACUUCCAAGACAGUCCUUGUGUGAGACAUCUCCACAAAGUAAACCUGCACCAGAGGCUGCAACCAGGAACACUGGUGAUUCAUUCACAGGACAUUUACCAUCCGGACGCACCUGGACCUGCAGUUCAGAAGCUCCUCACCUUCUUGUACUUGGCUCCUUGAAGCUCAGAGUGUUCCCUGGGCUGUGUAGCAGGGGCGCAGGUCUCCACCCUUCAUCGAAAUCUGCUUCUGCUGCCCUCUCCCCCUCGUCAGACCCUCACAGCCCACAGCCAGGAGGACAAGGGCCCGGAGGAGCUCUGAGAGGACAUCAUCAAACAAGUGAACCAGAUUUCACAACUAAGAAAGAAGACAGUAGUUUUAAAGUGAAGAGGCAUCCAAAUGAAUAAAGGCUCUUCAAUAAUAUGAAUAAUUAAAGCAUCCUAUGAUACUGCACUAAUCUGAAUGCAAUACAAUCUACGACUUAGAUCUGCACUGUCCAGCGUGGUAGAAACUAGCCACAUGAAGGUAGUGAAGCAUGGCUGCUACCAGGUAAGAUGUGCUUUAAGUGUGGAUUUCAAAGACUUAGUACGAAAAAAAAAAGAAUGUGAGAUAUCUCAUUAGGUUUUUUAUACUGAUUAUAUGUUGAAAUAUUAAUAUUUUGGACAUAUUGGGUCACAUAAUUAUUUAAAUUAUUUAUACGGUUUUAAAGUUAGU